CCUACGGGAGGCAGCAGUGGGGAAUAUUGCACAAUGGGGGAAACCCUGAUGCAGCGACGCCGCGUGAGUGAAGAAGUAAUUCGUUAUGUAAAGCUCUAUCAGCAGGGAAGAAAAUGACGGUACCUGAGUAAGAAGCCCCGGCUAACUACGUGCCAGCAGCCGCGGUACUACGUAGGGGGCCAGCGUUAUCCGGAUUUACUGGGUGUAAAGGGAGCGUAGACGGCAGUGCAAGUCUGGAGUGAAAGGCGGGGGCUCAACCCCCGGACUGCUCUGGAAACUGUACGGCUGGAGUGCAGGAGAGGUAAGUGGAAUUCCUAGUGUAGCGGUGAAAUGCGUAGAUAUUAGGAGGAACACCAGUGGCGAAGGCGGCUUACUGGACUGUAACUGACGUUGAGGCUCGAAAGCGUGGGGAGCAAACAGGAUUAGAUACCCUUGUAGUC
rnacentral:rRNA from 1 species